rnacentral:rRNA from 1 species
CCUACGGGAGGCAGCAGUGGGGAAUAUUGGACAAUGGGGGCAACCCUGAUCCAGCCAUGCCGCGUGUGUGAAGAAGGCCCUCGGGUUGUAAAGCACUUUCAGUGAGGAAGAACGCCUGGUGGUUAAUACCCAUCAGGAAAGACAUCACUCACAGAAGAAGCACCGGCUAACUCCGUGCCAGCAGCCGCGGUAAUACGGAGGGUGCGAGCGUUAAUCGGAAUUACUGGGCGUAAAGCGCGCGUAGGUGGCUUGAUAAGCCGGUUGUGAAAGCCCCGGGCUCAACCUGGGAACGGCAUCCGGAACUGUCAAGCUAGAGUGCAGGAGAGGAAGGUAGAAUUCCCGGUGUAGCGGUGAAAUGCGUAGAGAUCGGGAGGAAUACCAGUGGCGAAGGCGGCCUUCUGGACUGACACUGACACUGAGGUGUGAAAGCGUGGGUAGCAAACAGGAUUAGAUACCCCGGUAGUC